rnacentral:rRNA from 1 species
AGGACGACGCUGGCGGCGUGCCUAAUACAUGCAAGUCGAACGGCUUUUCUAUGGAAGCUUGCUUCCACUGAGAAGAUAGUGGCGAACGGGUGAGUAACAACGUGGGUAACCUGCCCAUAAGAGGGGGAUAACAUCCGGAAACGGGUGCUAAUACCGCAUAGUUUUCUUGAUCGCAUGAUCGGGAAAGGAAAGACGGCCUUUGUGCUGUCGCUUAUGGAUGGACCCGCGGCGUAUUAGUUAGUUGGUGAGGUAAUGGCUCACCAAGACGAUGAUACGUAGCCGACCUGAGAGGGUGAUCGGCCACAUUGGGACUGAGACACGGCCCAAACUCCUACGGGAGGCAGCAGUAGGGAAUCUUCCGCAAUGGACGAAAGUCUGACGGAGCAACGCCGCGUGAGUGAAAGAAGGUUUUCGGAUCGUAAAACUCUGUUGUCAGAGAAGAACAAGUUGGAGAGUAACUGCUCCAGCCUUGACGGUAUCUGACCAGAAAGCCACGGCUAACUACGUGCCAGCCGCGGC